GGGCGCGGAAGCUCUCAACCUGCUGUUCCUAGUUUUAUACGCGAGAUUCAAUUGAACUCAACAACUCAUGCAAUUAUCGUGGUGAAACCCAUGAUAUUGAUAUCGUUGUCAAUGUUCCAACCUUCUUCACAUGAAACCAUUUCUACUCUCUCCAAAAAUACCUGUUCCUCUGUUGAUAUCUUCUCUCCGUUUCUCUUUCAACCACCAAAUCCCUUUUUAUCCUCUAAACCCAUUCUCAUCAACCUCCACCACCAGAACCAAAUGGAAUUCAACUACCAAUGUGAUCAUUACGCACCCCACUCUUUUAAUCCUGGAGUCGUGUACGUCCAUGACCCAGUUGAAGCAAAUUCAAGCCCACAUGACCAUUAGUGGUCUCAUUACUCACACAUUCCCUGUGAGCCGCGUGUUAGCCUUUUGCGCUCUCGCUGAUAAUGGUGAUUUAAACCAUGCCUAUUUGCUGUUUACCCAACUUGAAAACCCCAACACUUAUAUGUGGAAUACUAUGAUUAGAGGGUACUCUAAAGCUAAUAUGCCAGUUAUGGGGUUCUCCUUCUUCUGUCAAAUGGUUCAACAACGAAUUGAAAUGGACUCUAGAAGCUUUGUUUUCGCGCUGAAAGCUUGUGAGCAGUUUUCAAGAGUUUUAGUGGGGAAAUCAAUUCACUCUACAAUUUGGAAAAUGGGUUUUGUCUGUGCCUUGUUGGUUCAGAAUGGGUUGAUACAUUUCUAUGGUGUCCAUGGGUGUUUGAUUUUAGCUCGUAAAGUGUUUGAUGAAGUUUCUUUGAGGGAUGUUGUUUCUUGGACCUCGAUGAUUGAUGGUUAUUCUGCGCGUAAUUGUUACAAUGAGGCUUUCGAGCUUUUUGAUUCCAUGUUGUUGAGCGAUGUUGAGCCGAACGAAGUUACUUUAAUUUCGGUGCUUUCAUCUUGCUUUCGUGAAGGGGACUUGAGCGUUGGGAAGAGUAUCCAUGAAUAUGUAAGAAGGAAGAAUUUGAAUCACAACCUGAAUUUGAUGAAUGCAAUUUUGGAUAUGUAUGUGAAAUGUAGUUGCUUGAUUGCUGCAAGAGAGACUUUCGACAACAUGAGAAUUAAAGAUGUGUUCUCGUGGACUAGCAUGGUUAACGGGUAUGCUAAAAGUGGUGAACUAGAGUUGGCAAGAAAGUUGUUUAAUGAGAUGCCUGAGAGAAACGUAGUUUCCUGGAAUGCCAUGAUUGCAGGUUAUUCUCAAAAUAAUCAACCAAAGCAAGCUCUAGAAUUGUUUCAUGAUAUGGUGGAGGCAGGCUUGUCGCCGAUGGAGAAUACUUUAGUGUGUGUUCUAUCUGCUUGUGGUCAGUUGGGGUAUGUGGACUUCGGUCGGUGGAUUCAUCUCUACAGUGUCGAGCAAAAACUCAUAGAAAAUAGUGUGAUUUUAGCAAAUGCGUUAAUAGACAUGUAUGCUAAAUGCGGAGUAAUAGAUGCUGCUGCAGAAGUUUUUAAUUACAUGCCACAGAGAGAUUUGGUUUCUUGGAAUUCCAUGAUUUCUGCUUAUGCUAGUCAUGGGCAUGCCAAGCAAGCUGUUGUUGUCUUUGAGCAAAUGAUAAAUGGAGGACUCAAGCCAGAUGAUAUUACAUUUGUGGGCGUUUUGUCAGCUUGCAGUCAUGGUGGACUAGUCACUGAAGGCCGAGCAUAUUUUAAGGAAAUGGAAAGAAAUUAUGAUAUUAAGCCCAAGCAAGAACACUACGCUUGUAUGAUUGAUCUGCUUGGUCGAGUUGGACUGCUAGAAGAUGCUUAUGAAUUAAUAACUAAGAUGCCAAUGCAUCCGAGUGAAGCUGCUUGGGGUGCUCUUCUCAAUGCUUGUAAGAUGCAUGGGAAUGUUGAACUGGCUACGCUUUCAGCCAAGGAACUUUUUGACUUGGAUCCCGAGGAUAGUGGUGUUUACGUUUUGCUAGCAACAACUUGUGCUAAUUGUAAAAGGUGGGGCGAUGUUAGGAUGAUCAGAAGCAUGAUGAGGGAGAGGGGGGUUAAGAAGAUUCCUGGCCAUAGCUUGAUAGAGGUAGAGGGUGAGUUUCAUGAAUUUUUGGCGCGUGACGAAUCCCACCCGCAGUCUGAAGACAUUUAUAGAGCAUUGGAUGAAAUGUAUUUGCUGUCCAAACUGGAAGAUAAUGUAACAAACACAUCUGAAUUGACAGGUCUUUUUACGUUUUAUGAUGAUUCCUCGAGAUCAUGUAUCAACUAUCAAUCAAAACGAUUAAAAACAUGAAGAGCUUUAUUUGUUACAAAAUAUUUCAUAGAAAGAAG
rnacentral:misc_RNA from 1 species